rnacentral:rRNA from 1 species
UCGAUGAAGAACGCAGCUAGCUGCGAUAAAUAGUGCGAAUUGCAGACGCAUUGAGUACAAAGAUUUCGAAUGCACAUUGCACCAUCGGGUUGAUUCCCGAUGGUACGUCUGGCUGAGGGUC